GCGGUCGCGCUAGGGCCACAGCGAUCGAGCAAGAGGAAAAAGCAGUCGAACCCUAGCCCCAAUCCACAGCCCCGCGCCCCUCACUCCUCCCUCCCUCGUCCGCCGCCACUCCCUCCCACCUCCUCCUCCUACGCCCUAGGAGCCCCGCCGCCUACUGCUACUCCUCCACCGCCUCGCCUCUUCCUCCUCCUUACCUUCCCAUCGCUCGUCUUCAGGCUGCAGCGGUGGUUCCCGAUCUGAGCCGUCUUCAGGUGCGUGGAGCGACGGAGGUCGGCUCCCUCCUUCUCCACGGUCUCGCGGCGGGAGAGGAGUCAGCCCCGGUGCUCUGCCUCUCCAUCCGUCUCCGCAAGCCAUCGUCCGAUGCCGUCGUUGCCCGCCAUCAUCUUGCUCGCUGCGUGCUUGCUAGAGAGCCAUGGCUUUCCUCACUGUAGGUUCUGCCAUGGCUUUUCUUGUCCCGUCUCACUCGCCUCCCCCUCCUCGUCACCCUCCUCUCUCUCUCUCCCCCGCGGCUACGAUUCAGGCUAGGGUUCGGGCGCCUUCCCUUCUCUCCUCCUCUACCCAACGCCGCCUCCCCUCCUUUCUCUCCUUCUCCACUAACGAGGCCGGGCCAGGAGCAGCGAGGCCGGGGCGGCGGUGCGGACAAGAAACUGUGGGCUCUCCUCCGCAAAUCUCUACCGGGACGACGGUAGCCCGAGGAGGAUCCCCGGUCAACGGCGCCCCGGGCGCUCACUGCCAAGAAGCCGCCGGAGGAGGAACUCGACCUGGACGACCGCCGCUGGACGAAGAGCCCCGAAAAAAUCCCCCAACCACCCCUGCGCCACCGCCUCUUCACCUUCGACCACGGGUUGCAACGGUCAGAGGACCAAGUUGGAGCAUACUAGGCAAAUGGGCCUUGCCGUGAGUCGUGGUGCAACAGUGACCUCGAUGGGCAGGGCAAUGGUCAGAUACGAGUCAGCACCAAAGAUGACUAUAAGCACUCAAAAAAGUUUACCACGCUAGGGCGAUGUCAGGUUGUACGAGGGUAGUUAGUGAAUAUACUUGUGACACUUAUACUCUCAGCAAUGCCGACAAACAUGGUUUGUGAUGAUAUUGGUGGUCUGAAGCUUUAGAUCGUCGGGGCUGCUCUCAUUCGUUCAAUUUGCCAGUGAUCCCUUCCAUUCUACUGUUGCUCAUUAUUAUCAUAUGAAGGAGGUGUUCUUCCAUUACAAUACUCCUGACGUGUUUCAUGAAAUGUCUAUGAGCUGGUAUGUUGUUCAUUCUCUUUUUUUUUCUUGCAGGCUGAUCUAUGUUCUCUGUUUGUUGGGUCCUCCGUGUCAUUAUGAACAAGGAACAUGUAUAUCCUUUCAAGUUCACUGAUGUGGUUACCACUACAACACACGUCCCUCCAAGGACCAAGGGUGGGCAUGAUCUUCUACAAGUUUUAGGUGAUGUACGUCGUGAAGCGGGGCGGGCGGACGGAGACGGUGCACUUCGACAAGAUCACGGUGCGGCUAAAGAAGCUCAGCUAUGGGCUCAGCCAGGAGCACCGCGACCCCGUGCUCGGUCUGCGUCAGGGUAUACAUGGGCGUCACCACCAGCCAGCUUGACGAGCUCGCCGCCGAGACCGCCGCCCCGCUCACCGCCUCCCAGCCAGACUAUGCCUCCCUUGCGGCGAGGAUUGUUGUGUCCAACCUGCCGCCAAGUGGAAAUAGUCUGUGUGGCGCUCGUAAAUAGAGAGCAUUUUGGUAGAAAGAUGAAUAUUAGCGAGUCUGGCUAAAUUCUGAACAUGUUCCAUGUGAGAGAAAUAGCAUGUUGAUUUCAUCUUGAAAUAAUCAUAGCUGAGGGACGAGCUUAGUAACUGAGGGUCAUGUGUAAAGCUGAAGGAAGAAGUUGCGAGGCUUGGAACUCUCCUUGUGAAGGGCUCAGGGGCAGUAGUGAGGACAAUGCCUCUUUAGUUGUAAUUGUGAUACUCGUGAUUUGCAAGUAAACACUCAUGUGAUACUAAAUAUUGGUUGUUAGUACAAAGGUGGUGACAUUAGUUGGUUCCCUGGUAUUGAUUUCAUGAUUUGUGGUUAAUACAUGAUGUAAUACAAUUCACACUGCAUUAUAUUUCCAGUUACAUCUCUUACUUA